CACGAGGGAAUGACGGUGUCAGCAAUACAGAACGUCCAUUUUCCUUGACAUCGCGUGGCUCAGAAUUUAGGGUCGCCGGCUCAUGCUUCCCUUACAGGCAGCUGUCUGUAAGACAGGUGUUCACCAGAGAUCAAGGGGUGAGAGGGGCCCACACUGAACACAAGAAGCUGCAGAGUGCUUUACUCUGUGCCCCUCCAGUUGCAAAAGUUCCUUGCGAACUGGGUUG
rnacentral:ribozyme from 16 species